rnacentral:rRNA from 1 species
AUAGAGAGUAGUUAGUGGCAGACGGGUGAGUAAUGCAUAGGAAUCUACCUAAUAGUAUGGGAUAGCCACUAGAAAUGGUGGGUAAUACUGUAUAAUCCCUGCGGGGGAAAGAUUUAUCGCUAUUAGAUGAGCCUAUGUUAGAUUAGCUAGUUGGUAGGGUAAAGGCCUACCAAGGCGAUGAUCUAUAGCUGGUCUGAGAGGAUGAUCAGCCACACUGGAACUGAGAUACGGUCCAGACUCCUACGGGAGGCAGCAGUGGGGAAUAUUGGACAAUGGGCGCAAGCCUGAUCCAGCUAUGCCGCGUGAGUGAGGAAGGCCUUAGGGUUGUAAAACUCUUUCAGUAGGGAAGAUAAUGACGGUACCUACAGAAGAAGUCCCGGCAAACUCCGUGCCAGCAGCCGCGGUAAUACGGAGGGGGCAAGCGUUGUUCGGAAUUAUUGGGCGUAAAGGGCAUGUAGGCGGUUCGGUAAGUUAAAGGUGAAAUGCCAGGGCUUAAC